rnacentral:rRNA from 1 species
AAUGAACGCUGGCGGCAUGCCUAACACAUGCAAGUCGAACGAUAACAUCGGGUCUAUUGGCGCAUGGGUGCGGAACGCGGGGGAAGCGUCCCUUAGGUUCGGAAUAACUCCCCGAAAGGGGUGCUAAUAUGGGAUAAGUUCUUCGGACCAAAGAUUUAUCGCCUUGGGAUGGGCCCGCGUUGGAUUAGCUGGUUGGUAGGGUAAAAGCCGACGAAGGCGACGAUCCAUAGCUGGUCUGAGAGGAUGAUCAGCCACACUGGGACUGGGACGCGGCCCGGACUCCUGCGGAAGGCAGCAAAGGGGAAUAUAGCAAAACGGGCGGAAGGAUGAAGCAGCACUGCCGGGUGAGUGAUGAAGGCGUUAGGGAAGUAAAGCUCUUUUACCCGGGAUGAUAAUGACGGUACCGGGAGAAUAAGCACCGGCUAACUCCGUG